rnacentral:rRNA from 1 species
AUGGAGGCUGGAGAAAUCGGCGGCGCCCUCCUGUUCGUCCUCGCCGCCGCCGCAGCCGUCCUCGCCGCCGUCUCCACUGGCGCCGUCGAUUUCAGCCACCCACCCGCGGUGGGUGGGCAGCUGGACUUCCAGGAGACCAUCUCGUGGUUCACCGGCGUCUACAAUGGCGCCUCGUACUCGUCUGGGGCGGGGGCCGUGUCGCUGGCGGAGGUGCACGAGCUGUGGGUGCGGGUGCGGGGCCGGGUGAUCGCGCCGGCGCUGCAGGUGACGGUGUGGGCGUGCAUGGUGAUGUCGGUGAUGCUCGCGGUAGAGGCCCUGUACAACUGCGUGGUCAGCCUCGGCGUCAAGGCCAUCGGCUGGCGACCGGAGUGGCGGUUCAAGUGGGAGCCCCUCGCCGGCGACGAGGAGAAGGGGAGCGCCCACUACCCCAUGGUCCUCGUCCAGAUACCCAUGUACAACGAGCUGGAGGUGUACAAGCUGUCAAUCGGGGCGGCAUGUGAGCUCAAGUGGCCAAAGGACAGGAUGAUCGUCCAAGUGCUGGACAAUUCCACCGAUCCGUUAAUCAAGAAUUUGGUGGAGCUUGAAUGCGAAACCUGGGUGACCAAGGGUCUGAACAUUAAGUACGCCCCAAGAAGCGGCCAGAAGGGGUUCAAAGCAGGAGCCCUGAAGAAGGGAAUGGAAUGUGACUAUGCCAGGCAGUGUGAAUAUGUUGCCAUAUUUGAUGCUGAUUUCCAGCCUGAACCAGACUUCCUUCUCAGAACAAUCCCGUUCUUCGUGCACAAUCCAAAAGUUGCUCUUGUUCAAGCUCGGUGGUCCUUCGUGAAUGGCACCGUGAGCCUGUUGACGAGGAUACAAAAGAUGUUCUUCGAUUACCAUUUCAAAGUUGAGCAAGAAGCAGGAUCAGCAACCUUUGCCUUCUUCAGCUUCAAUGGAACCGCUGGAGUGUGGCGUACAGCAGCCAUCAAAGAGGCAGGAGGUUGGAAGGACCGCACUACAGUUGAAGACAUGGACUUGGCAAUUCGAGCCACCCUAAAGGGUUGGAAAUUUAUAUAUGUCGGGGAUAUCAGAGUUAAGAGUGAAUUGCCAUCCAGUUACAAGGCCUACUGUCGACAGCAAUUCCGGUGGGCUUGUGGUGGUGCAAAUUUAUUCCGAAAAGUAGCAAUAGAUAUUUUGACUUCUAAGGAUGUGUCUGUCGUCAAGAAGUUUUAUAUGCUCUAUAGCUUCUUAUUUGUUCGGAGAGUUGUGGCCCCUGCUGUCGCAUGUAUUCUCUCAAAUAUCAUAGUUCCAUUAUCAGUCAUGAUCCCAGAACUAUACCUACCAGUCUGGGGCGUCGCAUAUAUUCCCGCGGUACUUCUAGUGGUAACAGCCAUAAGAAAUCCAAAAAAUAUACACCUUCUGCCAUUUUGGAUUUUGUUUGAGAGUGUGAUGACAAUACACCGCACGAGAGCUGCACUGGUUGGUCUAUUCGAAUUCUCAGAGUUUAAUGAGUGGGUCGUGACAAAGAAGACAGGGAACAAUUUUGAAGAUAACAAGGUUCCCUUGCUUCAGAAAACCAGAAAAAGAUUAAGAGACAGGGUUAAUUUUCCUGAGAUUCUGUUUUCAGCGUUUCUUUUCUUCUGUGCAUCGUACAACCUUGUAUUCCCUGGCAAGACUAGCUACUAUUUUAAUCUCUAUUUGCAAGGAUUAGCAUUUGCAUUUCUAGGGCUAAACUUCUCUGGCACUUGCACUUGCUUUCAAUGA